rnacentral:lncRNA from 1 species
UGUCUUUGGGGAGGCAGGCAAGCUUGUUGUGCCAAAAAAGGUCUUUGUUUUAAAUCAGAUUGGAAGGGGGAGAACACCAUUGUAAAAAAAAUAACUAGUUUUUGCAGGCGACCGGAGGGCUGAGAGGCAGGCAGCAGGCUUGGACAUCAUCACAAGUCGGUGACAGAUGGCAACAUGAGAAGGAGAACGGAAGAUAGGGAUGACUCAAAGAGAAAAACAUCUUUGUGGCAAUCUCUACAGGGUCUACAGCUUUGCCUGCUGUCUGCUGCUGAUGCAUUAGAGCUCCUGCAGAGAGGACCAAUAUCCAGGAGAGCGGAUCACGUGGGAGCGGAUGCUUGGAGUUCCGGAAGUACAGACAGAUGUAUGGAGUGGAAAAGUACCAGUGUUAAAGGUUGUGUCGAUGCUUCCUUCUAAGUGGUUCCUAUGCCGUCUGGGCCACACAAAACCCUUGGCUAGAAAAUGGAUCAUUUGAGGAGCGUUUCUUCUUCACGUGUGCUUCUGGGGCUUAGAGCUGGAAAGGACUUUGUGUUCACACAACAAGGCGUGGCCUUUAUAUUUAUUCUGGAUGCUGCAGAGACAGCACACUCGUGGAGAAGACAACAAUUAGAAGCCUAUGCUCGGAGCAGAGAAGCCUUUUAAAAGCACCUGGAUUUGAGAAUUCCAUCAGGAUACAGGUAUCAAAAGCUGGCUUGAUGUCUGUAGUACAAAGUUAGAAGCUGGAAGGUCAGUCUGGCCAGACCACAUCUGGGCUGGGGGGCUGGGGGGGGGGAGCUCAUGUAUGG